rnacentral:rRNA from 1 species
AUGGAGCCGACCUUGAAAUACCACCCUUUAAUGUUUGAUGUUCUAACGUUGACCCGUAAUCCGGGUUGCGGACAGUGUCUGGUGGGUAGUUUGACUGGGGCGGUCUCCUCCUAAAGAGUAACGGAGGAGCACGAAGGUUGGCUAAUCCUGGUCGGACAUCAGGAGGUUAGUGCAAUGGCAUAAGCCAGCUUGACUGCGAGCGUGACGGCGCGAGCAGGUGCGAAAGCAGGUCAUAGUGAUCCGGUGGUUCUGAAUGGAAGGGCCAUCGCUCAACGGAUAAAAGGUACUCCGGGGAUAACAGGCUGAUACCGCCCAAGAGUUCAUAUCGACGGCGGUGUUUGGCACCUCGAUGUCGGCUCAUCACAUCCUGGGGCUGAAGUAGGUCCCAAGGGUAUGGCUGUUCGCCAUUUAAAGUGGUACGCGAGCUGGGUUUAGAACGUCGUGAGACAGUUCGGUCCCUAUCUGCCGUGGGCGCUGGAGAACUGAGGGGGGCUGCUCCUAGUACGAGAGGACCGGAGUGGACGCAUCACUGGUGUUCGGGUUGUCAUGCCAAUGGCACU